CUGUCUUAACGACUAGUCCGGGAAUGCUGGGAGGCCUGAACACACCUGAGCUACACUCUGGGGGGUGGGGCGGGGCGGGGCAGGGCAGGGUAGGGGCAGGUCAGGUCAGGUUAGGUCAUCUUCUGCCCUUCAUGUGACCACCUACGCAGGACAGGUAUCGACAAGUAGGAUUAACGGGUUCAGUAAUAUGAUGAAACUUCCAAAAACAAAAGAAAAUAUAUUGACAACCAAGAUGAAGUUCUAUAAUGUGACAAAACUUCACACAAAAAUAAGAAACACUAUUAACAACCAAGAUUAAGAAGUUCAGUAAUUUUGACGAAACUUCAAUAAAAAAAAAUAAAAAAAUAUCUACAAUUAAGAUUAAGAGGUGGAUUAAUAUGACAAAACUUCAAAUAAAAAAAGAAAAACUAUCAAAAAAUAUAAAAAAAUAUGAAGAGAUUCAGUAAUAUGAUAAAAUUACCACAAUAAAAAAACAAGAAUAUCGACAACCAAGAUUAACAAGUUCGAUAAUGACAACACUUCCAGAAAAUACAAUAAAUAAGUAAAUAAUAAAUAUACACUGCUUGGAAACACUUUACAGUCCUUACCAGCAUAAAAUAAUAUAUAACAACAUCUCCAAAAAAACAAAGAGAGAACAUUAAUAGCUGAACCGUGAAAGGAUGAAAUAACAAGACAGCAUUACCAAAAAGAAAAUAAAGAAAAAAAAAGAACAUUGGGAAGUCACCGUCAGCUAAGAAUAACAUGUUCGAUACGGCGACAUUUCCGACACCAAACCAAAAACGACAUUAAUAAUUAUACAGCAUGGGCGAACACACACACACACACUCACUCAUUCACACACACACACACACACUCACUCAUUCACACACACACACACACACUCACUCAUUCACACACACACACACACACUCACUCAUUCACACACACACACACACACACACUCACAGACACACACACACAAACGAAGGAGGUUGAACGAAAACAGACAAGGCGACAGGACUAUCCAAACUCACCUCCCUCAGGCCCUGCAAACCACAAACCGAAAUAGCAAACAGGUAGACAGGUAAAUGAAUGAGGUAAACAGGUGAAUGAAGGAGAGGCUGAACAUAUACAAACAAGGGGACAGGCCUAUCCGAGCGCUCACCUCACUCAGGCCCUGCAAACCACACAUAGGUAAAUAUAAAUAUGUAAACAAGUAAAUGAAUGAGGUAAUUGAAGGAGGUAAAUGAAUGAGGUAAACAGGUAAUUGAAGGAGAGGUUAGACAAAUACAGACAAGGGGACAGGACUAUCCGAGCGCUCACCUCCCUCAGGCCCGGUAAACCACAUAUAGGUGAAUACAAAAAGGUGAACACAAACACAAAAUAAAUAAAUAAAUAAAAUAAAUAUUAUAGAUAAAUAUUGAAGGUACUGCAAGAAGAGCGGUGAGUAGCGGGUUUUUUUGUGUGUGUGUCUGUACUCUUUUAGUUGCCCUUGAACCGAAUCCUUUGAUGUAAAAAAAAUAUAAAAAAAUAUAUAAAAAAGACCCCAAAUCUCAUCUUCAUACAUACACACACACACACUCAACGAUGAAGAAAAAAACAAAUAAAAUAAAAUAAAUACACAAAAAAAGUUCCACACGUCAAUUCACAAACUUCAAAAGUGAAAAAUAAUUACUAUGACAUUAUAUAUAUACUGCUAACAGGCCUCCCAGUUAAAGAUAUUGUAUUAUUGUAUGGUAGUAUUGUAUUGCAGUACUGUAUGGGGACUGCAGGGAUAAUGCUUACUCUUUUAACUAUGGGGAAUUGUACAGCAACUUAGCCUAUUGUAAAGCUUGGUAGUCUAGUAGUAAUAGUAGUAGUAGUAGUAGUAGUAGUAGUAGUAGUAGUAGUAGUAGUAGUAGUGUUUGUUUUUUUCCUCUGGUUGCUAUGAUUUUUUGCUUGGACCACAUUUCAUUUAUAAUCUGUAUGUGUGUUUGUGUUAGUGUUUUUGUAUAUGUGUCUGUGUGUGUCUGUAUUGCAUCUAUAAUAAUCUGUAUGUGUUUGUGUUUAUGUAUGUGUGUGUAUGUGUGUGUACAGUAAGGUCAUCCCCAGCACAAGAUUGAUGUAUACACGAGCCUACCUUACCUAAAUCCAAGAUAUUCAGUAUGUAUAAGAACGGGCUGCACUACCUCCCUUAUCAAGCUAUUCAAUACAAGUAACAUAAGGGCUGCUAACUAUAUGAUCUCUGCUUGUGACGCAGUUGUUCGUCAGUGUAAGACUUGCUCGCCCUACUACAAAGGUUACGGAUGAGUUAUUGCUGACGGGGGACUUCUCUGUACUGUAACGCACUCCCUACCUCAUCAAGCUUUUCAAUACAAGUAACAUAAGAGCUGCUAACUAUUUGAUAUCUGCUUGUGUGACCCGGUUGUUCGUCAGUGUAAGACUUGCUCGCCCUACUACAAAGGUUACGGAUGAGUUAUUGCUGAUGGGGGACUUCUCUGUACUGUGAUGCACUCCCUGCCUCAUCAAGCUUUUCAAUACAAGUAACAUAAGAGCUGCUAACUAUUUGAUAUCUGCUUGUGUGACCCGGUUGUUCGUCAGUGUAAGACUUGCUCGCCCUACUACAAAGGUUAUGGAUGAGUUAUUGCUUACGAGGGACUUCUCUGUACUAUAACGCACUCCCUGCCUUAUCAAGCUAUUCAAUACAAGUAACAUAAGAGCCACUAACUAUUUGAUCUCUGUGUAAUUCAGUUGUUUAUCAGUUAAAGACUUGCUCGCCCUACUACAAAGGUUAUGGAUGAGUUAUUGCUUGCGGGGGACUUCUCUGUACUAUAACGCACUACCUCCCUUA